CUCCUUCUCUUCUCCUUCUUCUUCUCCUUCUUAUCCUCCUCCUCCUCCUUCUUCUUCUUCUCCUUCUUCUUCUCCUUCUUCUACUCCUCUUUCUUCUUCUCCUCCUCCUUCUUCUUCUAGUCUUCUUCUUCUUCUCCUCUUUCUUCUUCUUCUUCUCCUUCUUCUUCUUCUUCUUCUUCUAGUCUUCUUCUUCUUCUUCUUCUUCUAGU
rnacentral:lncRNA from 1 species